UGGGGAAUCUUGCACAAUGGGGGCAACCCUGAUGCAGCGACGCCGCGUGAGCGAUGAAGCCCUUCGGGGCGUAAAGCUCUUUCGACCGGAACGAUAAUGACGGUACCGGGAGAAGAAGCUGCGGCUAACUACGUGCCAGCAGCCGCGGUAAUACGUAGGCAGCAAGCGUCGUUCGGAGUUACUGGGCGUAAAGAGUGCGUAGGCGGUUUUCUAAGUUCGGUGUGAAAUCACCCGGCUUAACUGGGAGGGUGCGCCGAAGACUGGGAAGCUGGAGUGUGGGAAAGGCAGGCGGAAUUCCUGGUGUAGCGGUGAAAUGCGUAGAUAUCAGGAGGAACACCGGCGGUGUAGACGGCUUGCUAGACCAUAACUGACGCUGAGGCGCGAAAGCGUGGGUAGCAAACA
rnacentral:rRNA from 1 species